rnacentral:rRNA from 1 species
GAAGGUGGCCUGUGAGGGUUGCUGGAGGUAUCAGAAGUGCGAAUGCUGACAUAAGUAACGAUAAAGCGGGUGAAAAGCCCGCUCGCCGGAAGACCAAGGGUUCCUGUCCAACGUUAAUCGGGGCAGGGUGAGUCGACCCCUAAGGCGAGGCCGAAAGGCGUAGUCGAUGGGAAACGGGUUAAUAUUCCCGUACUUGGUGUUACUGCGAAGGGGGGACGGAGAAGGCUAUGUUGGCCGGGCGACGGUUGUCCCGGUUUAAGCGUGUAGGUGUGUGUUCCAGGUAAAUCCGGUUCACUUUAACACUGAGGCGUGAUGACGAGGCACUACGGUGCUGAAGCAACAAAUGCCCUGCUUCCAGGAAAAGCCUCUAAGCAUCAGGUAACAUCAAAUCGUACCCCAAACCGACACAGGUGGUCAGGUAGAGAAUACCAAGGCGCUUGAGAGAACUCGGGUGAAGGAACUAGGCAAAAUGGUGCCGUAACUUCGGGAGAAGGCACGCUGACAUGUAGGUGAAGUGAUUUACUCAUGGAGCUGAAGUCAGUCGAAGAUACCAGCUGGCUGCAACUGUUUAUUAAAAACACAGCACUGUGCAAACACGAAAGUGGACGUAUACGGUGUGACGCCUGCCCGGUGCCGGAAGGUUAAUUGAUGGGGUCAGCGCAAGCGAAGCUCCUGAUCGAAGCCCCGGUAAACGGCGGCCGUAACUAUAACGGUCCUAAGGUAGCGAAAUUCCUUGUCGGGUAAGUUCCGACCUGCACGAAUGGCGUAAUGAUGGCCAGGCUGUCUCCACCCGAGACUCAGUGAAAUUGAACUCGCUGUGAAGAUGCAGUGUACCCGCGGCAAGACGGAAAGACCCCGUGAACCUUUACUAUAGCUUGACACUGAACAUUGAGCCUUGAUGUGUAGGAUAGGUGGGAGGCUUUGAAGCGUGGACGCCAGUCUGCGUGGAGCCGACCUUGAAAUACCACCCUUUAAUGUUUGAUGUUCUAACGUGGACCCGUGAUCCGGGUUGCGGACAGUGUCUGGUGGGUAGUUUGACUGGGGCGGUCUCCUCCUAAAGAGUAACGGAGGAGCACGAAGGUUGGCUAAUCCUGGUCGGACAUCAGGAGGUUAGUGCAAUGGCAUAAGCCAGCUUGACUGCGAGCGUGACGGCGCGAGCAGGUGCGAAAGCAGGUCAUAGUGAUCCGGUGGUUCUGAAUGGAAGGGCCAUCGCUCAACGGAUAAAAGGUACUCCGGGGAUAACAGGCUGAUACCGCCCAAGAGUUCAUAUCGACGGCGGUGUUUGGCACCUCGAUGUCGGCUCAUCACAUCCUGGGGCUGAAGUAGGUCCCAAGGGUAUGGCUGUUCGCCAUUUAAAGUGGUACGCGAGCUGGGUUUAGAACGUCGUGAGACAGUUCGGUCCCUAUCUGCCGUGGGCGCUGGAGAACUGAGGGGGGCUGCUCCUAGUACGAGAGGACCGGAGUGGACGCAUCACUGGUGUUCGGGUUGUCAUGCCAAUGGCACUGCCCGGUAGCUAAAUGCGGAAGAGAUAAGUGCUGAAAGCAUCUAAGCACGAAACUUGCCCCGAGAUGAGUUCUCCCUGAGACUUAGAGUCUCCUGAAGGAACGUUGAAGACGACGACGUUGAUAGGCCGGGUGUGUAAGCGCAGCGAUGCGUUGAGCUAACCGGUACUAAUGAACCGUGAGGCUUAACCUUACAACGCCGAAG